rnacentral:rRNA from 1 species
UACAGAGGGGGCAAGCGUUGUUCGGAAUUACUGGGCGUAAAGGGCGCGUAGGCGGCCUUCUAAGUCGAACGUGAAAUCCCUCGGCUUAACCGGGGAACUGCGUCUGAUACUGGAUGGCUUGAGUUCGGGAGAGGGAUGCGGAAUUCCAGGUGUAGCGGUGAAAUGCGUAGAUAUCUGGAGGAACACCGGUGGCGAAGGCGGCAUCCUGGACCGAUACUGACGCUGAGGAGCGAAAGCCAGGGGAGCAAACGGG